ensembl:lncRNA
CCAACACCAGCGCCCCCCAUUAGGAGCUGGACCGCGCCGAGGCAGCGUCACGGCUUAAAAGGCAGACGAGCUGAGAAGUGGGAGAUGGAUGGAGCCUAUAGUUUGCAGGAGGUGUUGAGGAGAGGAGCGCUGGUAAAUCCUGGCCAGGGAGAGACGGCUGUGCAAGGCUUCAUAUCACAUCACAGAUCCAGCAAUAACAUUCAUGAAUAUUCCUCCUUUUCACCAUUCCUUGUCGAUCCCUCACAAGGUCACGGUUGGCCAUCUGUGCUGCGUCCAGGCUUUGAAGCCCGCCAGCGAAAUUGUUACAGCAGCAAAUAGAAUUGUUUUUCUUUCAACACAGAAAUGCAGAUUUUUAAUGUCAAGGCCAGUUUGAUAUAUUUGCAGCAGACAAGUCUAAAGGACAGCGGAGCAUAAAAGGAUUGUUGAGAUUACGAGUUUGACGUUGGAAUCUUUAAAAUGUUUUAUGGUGCUUCAAAAUAGCGCUCUGUAGACUCCUCGUCUUUUUCUGGCAUGCUGUGAGAGAUGUGAAAGAAGUCUGUAUUUCUGAAG